CAUUUAAGCCCAGGCCAGGGUAGCAUAUGUUUUCUUCUAGAUAGACCUCMCUCUGUUGUUCCUGAUAUGCCAACAGAACUUCCUGGAUUCUUCRAGUCUGACUAGUUACCUUGCUUUUUGUGUGGUGGUUAUUAGAUUGCUGAAUGAUCUAUUGCUCUCACUACUGCUGCUUUGCUAACUGUGAUUGGGUACUGAGGAGCAAUGACUGCUGGAGGAAUCUGGAGAUCACCUCAAUGCCUGGUUCAUCUKAUUUGUUGGGAAGUGAUGCUCUUGCUGCACUGAGACAAGUGCAGAAAAUAUUCAGAGAUACUAAUCAGCCUUGGUGGCAGGAUGGGACUAAUGACAUUUCACUUGCUGUGAGCUGUGAUGAUUACCUUGCUACAUUGUCAGUCACUCCAUUCAGCUAUGCUAUUCGACUGUUCCUAUGGUAUUUUUGAUGGCUUCCUACUGCAUCAGUUUAAGGCAUCGCAUAGAAAGAGUGUGCAWACCUAUAGCUGUCCUCAUAGCUUGAAGAAAAACAAUAGGGACCCCAUUGUGGAUUUAGAGAAUUCCAAGACACUUCUCUCAAGAUCUUCAUUAUGGAAGAAACUGGUGUGAUCCUUAGACUACAGUGUACAACUUCAGCAAAAGGAAAAGAUUUCAUGCAAAUUGGUUUAAUUCAGGAACUCGAUUAUCAAAGACACAAGAUAAUUAAAACAUUGUUUUUGUUUUAUUUGACCAAGUUUAAUACUAAAACACAUGUGGAACUAAGACCUAUUAUAGCAAUUUACUUUUAAAUACUUAAAUAUUCAUAAGAUUUUUUUCAUUUUGACUUUUAGAAUGACAAGUCUCAAUUAGUACUCCUUUCACUAUGCAUGUAAUGAAAUAUAGCUUUUCUUUUUUACUCUAUGAGAGUGAGACAUCGCAGAUAUUGCACAAAGUGCACAGUGUCAGUAGUUUCCUACCAAUGAAGUACUUCGAAGAACAGUUUAUCCUCCAAGCAUUCCUUAAGAACAAUUACUUCGAGUGGCAACACCUGGAUGCAAGUAUUUCCUUAAAGAUGUAAAUAAUUUCUUAGCAAUAUGUUCAUGAUUAACUGCAUAUUUAAUGUAGCAUUGAUUCUUCUGAAAUUAAUUUUAUGAAAAAAACUUUCCCACACUUAAAGAAAAUGUAAUAUCAGUAUCCUGCAAUAUCACCUCUGUCCAUGUAUUAUCCACUGUGUACCUUUAUUGGAUGAAAAUACAGGUAUUAAAGCAACUUGUUGAAUUCUAUAACAACCUCCUUUUUUCCACUUAGCAGAUUGAUGUCCGAACUAACACAAGUCGUAUUUGUUUUAAGUUUCACUCAUUUUUUAUUUAUGAAUUAUUCACAUAUGGAUUAAAUAUUUUAUCUUAUGCACUUGUUAUUACUGAAUGCUCACUGAGAUGUUACAUUGACAGUUAUUUCUUGUAUAUUUG